UACGGAGGGUGCAAGCGUUGUUCGGAAUUACUGGGCGUAAAGGGCGCGUAGGCGGUAAUAUAAGUCAAAUGUGAAAUCCUCCAGCUUAACUGGAGAACAGCAUCUGAAACUGUGUAACUAGAGUACAGGAGAGGGAAACGGAAUUCCCGGUGUAGAGGUGAAAUUCGUAGAUAUCGGGAGGAACACCAGUGGCGAAGGCGGUUUCCUGGCCUGAUACUGACGCUGAGGCGCGAAAGCGUGGGGAGCAAACAGGAUUAGAUACCCUGGUAGUCCACGCUGUAAACGGUGAGCACUAGGUGUGGGAGGUGUAAUACCUUCUGUGCCGUAGUUAACGCGAUAAGUGCUCCGCCUGGGGAGUACGGCCGCAAGGUUGAA
rnacentral:rRNA from 1 species